CCGCGCCGCCCUGGCCACGCCCGCAGCUCGCCUGCCGCCACACCGGUCCCGCGCCACCCCGGCCACGCCCGCAGCUCGCCUGCCGCUACGCUGAUCCCGCGCCGCCCCGACCAAGCCCGCAGCUCGCCCCCCGCUCGCCGUGCCUGCGCCCACCGGGGCUGCUCGACCGACCACCGUGCUGCACACCCACCGUCACCUCUGCUUGCCCGGCCGCCGCGCGCACUGCCCUGCUUGCCGCUGUCGCCCGCCGUCGUGCACUGCUCGCCCGCCUCGCACUGCCCUUCUCACCCCUCCUAGCGGAGAACUGCGUCG
rnacentral:lncRNA from 1 species